AAGUUGGCAAAGGAUGUAAACAGACUCAACUAUCCUUAAAAGGAUUUCAGACAUUUUAAAGGUAAUUUCUGAAUGUUGAAUUUAUACUCUUAUCCUACAGUUUUACUUUGCUGAUUUAUUUCCUCUUUAUUUAGGAAAUCUUAUGGCACUUAAAUGUUAGGGGUCUAGUAUUAUCUUUAUGGUGUAUUAACACCCAACAAAAAAAAUAUGAAGCCUUGGGCUCAAGUACCUGGACUAAAUUUAAUGGAUUUUGUGAGGGUGAACCUACAACUUGAUAGACCAGUGUACCAGUGUAACAGACCAUGGCAAAGCAAUAUAAACUGAUCUAAUAUAAAUUUAAUGAAAUCGAUUGAUUUACUUUACAGUUUUAACAUAAUUUAUAGCAUAUUUGUAUCAGUCUUAACACUGAUUUUUGAACAAUUACAGCAUUCUUAUAAAUAAGAGCCCCUAUUUGAAUGCCACCAAUCCCCAAAGAAACUGUAUACUCAUACAACAUGUAAUCUAAAUUAGUACCUCAAUUAAUCACCUGGGUACUCCACAACUAUUACCUUUCUUCACACAAGGACGUAUCAUUAAAAACAGCCUCAAUUUCCUUUUUUGAUGUCUAACGUGAUUAAUUGCAGUCUUGUGACUUGAAAAGGCAAAUUAUUUGCUGUUAUGGAGAUUGACAUUUUUGGAGUUGUAAGGCUGUUCUCUUUCCCUUCACCUGGAAAUUCUUCAAUUCAAUAAUAACACCUGAGAGUAGCUUUCAAAGAGGCCUUUUCUCCCUACUAAACAUGUUUUACAUCUAGAAUAGUGCUUGUUUCUAAAAGUAAUAUUUUCAUUAUGUGAGACUUCAAAUUAUAAAUGUGUUUUUAUCUUAUUAUGUACCAGAAUGAAGUUAAAGUAGAGUGAAUAUUAAAUGAAGAGAAUCUUAACAUUCAAAAUGAGUAAUACACCUCUUCAAUUUAACAACACUUUGAAAGUGUCAAAUACUAUUGUAAUUUCUUGAAAGGCCUAUGUGAUCAACACAUAAAUAAAGGUACCAGCUGCAAGAACCCACAAGAAGGAUAUUUUAAAUUCUGAUUUCAGCAAACAGAGGGACACCUUAAAGCGUGUGAGCGGAAGACGUCACUGAGGAAAGCAUGUUUAAAGUGGAAUGAUACAUUAACAUGGACAACAAAAUCCUGAAUAGUCAGUCCAGACUGAAAUGUGUAAUGAAAAUAGUUGGAUAUUAAAGAAUUCGAGAGUGGGAAUUAUCAGCAAGGAGGAUGUGGUCCUUAUUAUUGAAGUAAGAUUUUCCUGACAUCAGUGCAUCCUUCUGAGUGUGUUAUCAUAUCUCUUAAGAUUUCUGCUUCAGUCUUGACCUGGGGCUUUCUUUUUUAAUGUCGCUUUAAAAAAAAAUCUUGAGAUAAUUCUUGGCUUUGUCAAGGAUACCAGCAACAAAAGCAUCAGCAAGCAGGUAAGUUCUGACCUUUUUUGUAUCAGUUAUUUUUCACUCAUUAUUAUUUUUUCUCUUUGGUGAUUUGUUUUUGAAAAUUCAGAUAUUUCUACUUACAGCAGUAGACUCCGCAGGAGUCUUUUGAUUUCUCCAAAGUCUAUUGUGAUACUUUAUGGAGCUCUUUUACAAUAUGCAUGCAUAAGAUAUUGUGUGAUUUUAUGUGUCUUAAUGUGUACGGACUUUGCUAUAAAUGAUCUUUAACUUUUAUUAUUAGCUACUGCGGUGUAUCUCAUAACGUUCAAUAGCCAUGCAUAAAACAUCUGAUGAUUACACUGAAAUCUAGCUUCGCAUAUUGCAAUUUAAGUCAUUAGAAAAUUGGUGGAAUAUUUUUCUUGCAUGUCGUUAAAAACUUUUUUUCUCCAAACUACAAAAACACAUUUCUGAAAAGUACUGUAAUUGAUUGCCACCGGCACAUACCAGGUGUCACUUCUGAUUCUAUUAAAACAGAGAUUUCUGUUAGUCACCGUAAUAAAAUAUUCUUAUGUGCACAUUCUGUGCAAAUGCAGUGUUUACUUUGAUAGAACAAGACAAGUGAUAUCCGUAUAUUGUCUAUUGGAUCUGAUGUGUAAUAAAUCAGAUGAAAGCUUAGCUCACAUGUCAUGCUGCAGAAAAAUGACAACCAAAUUUGGAGAGUCUUGGGUUUUAUGAAAAAUUCUAUCAAUAACAUAAGUCAGCUUGGAAGUGGAUUUUUCUCUAAUCUCAGAUGAAAACGUAGCAGGUUGAUAGUUUGAUUUCAUUCUUAUGAGACCCUGAACAGAGGACCCAGUUAAUCUGUGGCAGAUUCCAGACCCACAAACCUGAAAUGAUGAAUUUAUGUUGUCGUAAGCUGCCAAGUGUAUUCCAGCAGUUAGAAAAAGGAAACCUGCUACAGGAACCAAGAGUUUCCUCCGUUCCUUAUAGUAAGAAUUCGAUUAGACUUCUCAUUAUGCUUGACAGUUGUAUAGCUGUAGUCAGUUACUUAACUUAUAGGACUGAUUUUAAUAAUUUUGAAAGUCAAAAUUAAGAGCUAGGACCAC